rnacentral:lncRNA from 1 species
CUCCAGAUGAGAUUCAAUACAACAGCUCCAGAUGAGGUUUAAUACACCAGCUCCAGAUGAGGUAUAAUACACCAGCUCCAGAUGAGGUUUCAAUACACCAGCACCAAAUGAGGUUUAAUACACCAGCACCAGAUGAGGUUUAAUACACCCGCUCUAGAUGAGGUUUAAUACACCCGCUCUAGAUGAGGUUUAAUACACAAGCUCCAGAUGAGAUUCAAUACAACAGCUCCAGAUGAGGUUUAAUACAUACACCAGCUCCAGAUGAGGUUUCAAUACACCAGCUCCAGAUGAGGUUGAAUACACCAGCACCAGAUGAGGUUUAAUACACCAGCUCUAGAUGAGGUUUAAUACACAAGCUCCAGAUGAGAUUCAAUACAACAGCUCCAGAUGAGGUUUAAUACACCAG